rnacentral:lncRNA from 1 species
CAACACUGAGGGCCAGGGACAGGAUGUGACCAGCUCUAUGGCACCAACCAGUUUGCAGCUCAGGUGCCCACUGGGACAACAGAGUUCUGCCCCUCUGUGGGUGUGACUCAGAGCAUAGCGAGCACAUGACUGUCUCUUCUAGGGAAGAUCUGUCACUCGGUGGCCAUAUGCCCCUUCUACGUCAGAGUGUCCCCAACACAGCUGUCUAUGGCAGGGCCCCUGCCUCUCCCUGUGGCCACCUACAGCUGCCAUUACCUCUGUGACCAGCUGCAGGUCGUUCACGUAGUUCUCCUCUGUGACAAUGAGUUCGUGGAUGUAUCCUUGUCGUUUUCUUUCAGUCGGGGUCAACAUAUCCAAGAGAUGUAAAUCUGAACACCCUGGAAGACAAAAACAUUGGAGACAAUUAGUCCAGGUCUAGGGACUUCACAGCGUCACAGAGAAGACACCCCAGGCCCUCAUUCCAGGGGCCGCGAUGGAGCACAGUGCAAGAUCCUUUGCCAGGCCCCAGACCUGUGGUGUCAGCAUCCCCUUUGGGCUACAGUUUUAUAUUACCAGGCUCCUGGCCAAGUUGACUCCUCAGGGUGAGGUCUGGAAAUUUGUGAUUCAACAAGCUCUCCAGGUGAGAUUUUAAGGUUUGCUGAAGUUUGAGAAGGUUGCUCUGGACAGCCUGGGAUUCCUUGAGAUUCCAUCUCCUUCCCCUGAGGGGGUUACCUGGACUCCUGACUAAGCUGGUCUAUAUGCUGGAUGCUUCUGCAAAUAGAAUGAUCCCUCUCAGACACAUGACAUCAUGGAUUCUUGGCAAAUGCUUCAGCUGCUCCAGAGAUUAGCUCUAGGGCUGCCCAGCCCUGAUUUUGUUCCCCGCUCCUUGCCAAUCGCUGCAUAACCUCUCUUGUUGGGACAGGAACAUCUCAGGACCAGCAGGAAGUUGACAGGAAAGCAGCAGGAAUGAGCCAUCCUUAUAUUAGUGCCCUCUACGCCUUCUAUCUUGGACCUCAUGAGAAGGGCCACGUGCAGGGCUGAGCUGGACUCCCUGGGGCCGCAAGGAAGGGCAAUCCAGUCUACAAUGUUGCCAGGCAGUAUAAUGACUGCUGAGAAGCGAUGAAAAAUUCAUCCCAG